rnacentral:tRNA from 1 species
GGCCUAUUAGCUCAGCUGGUUAGAGCGUGGUCCUAAUAAGGCCAAAGUCGCAGGUUCGAGACCUGCAUGGGCCA